UCUAGAACUCGAGAUAUGGGCUGAAAAUUGAACAGUGUCUGGGCUGCAGGACAGAUUCGGACUUCUUCGUUGUUGCUAUAAUUUGGACUUGAAAACGGCCUUGUUAAAUCUUGGACUCCCCAUGAAAGUUGUAGGCCUAUGUCUUACCUUUCCAUC
rnacentral:pre_miRNA from 1 species